rnacentral:rRNA from 1 species
ACGCUCGACACCUACGGGGGCAGCAGUGGGGAAUAUUGCACAAUGGGGGAAACCCUGAUGCAGCAACGCCGCGUGAAGGAAGACGGUUUUCGGAUUGUAAACUUCUGUUCUUAGUGAAGAUAGUGACGGUAGCUAAGGAGCAAGCCACGGCUAACUACGUGCCGACAGCCGCGGUAAUCUGAGCGGGCUGGCAAGGC